AGUAUGAUGUUAGCUGUGGGUUUGUCGUAUGUGGCAUUUAUUAUGUUAAGAUCAUAAUGCCUGGUUAUGGCAAAAAGACCGCAAUUCCCACCAGAGAGCAAAAAGGAAGUAAAGCUACCAUUGUUGAUCUGAAACUAAAUGGAUUCUUGUCCGUUGUGAGGAGCAGCAGCCUACAAAGCACACUGAAUGCCAAAUGUGUUGCACCAGGGCUACAGGGAGUCGACUGCUCACAGAAAGCAAGCAUUCUGUUCUAAUUCUGUGCUGUAAGCUUUGCAAUAAGAGGCUCCAUAUGAGAAGGCUGGUGGUUGCCCAGCUGGGCUUAUGACAGACACACCCAGAUGUUUUUAAUCUAUGCAAAAUAAUGAUGGAUACUUGCUACCUUCUUCAACUAAUUUUCAAGAUGUAUUUAUAUAAAAUAAAAGAGUCUUUUAAAGCACAACUUUUUUCAAAUGUAUUUGUUACUGCACCUUUUGCCCUGGAAAAUUAUUUUUCUAUUUUUAUUUUUAUUUUUUGAGACAGGGUCUCACUCUGUCACCCAGGUUGGAGUGCAGUGGUGUGAUCACAGAUCACUGCAGCCUCGACCCCCACAGGCUCAAGUGAUCCUCCCACCUCAGGCCCCUGAGUAGCUGGGACUACAGGCAUGCACCACUAUACCAGCUGAUUUUUAAAACUUUUUGUAGAGACAGAAUCUCACUACAUUGCCCAAGCUAGUCUCAAACUUCUGGUCUCGAGCCACCCUCCCACCUCAGCCUCCCAAUGUGCUGGGAUUACAGGCAUACGCCACCACACCCAGCCUUAUUAUUUUGCUCUUUAGAGAUAAGAUAUCCAAACUUCAAAAAUAUUGUUAAUUUGGUACAAGUUAAAUCUCAGAAAUUUUGGAAACAAUCGCCUUCUGUAAUAUAUGUAAAAUAUUAUACACAGUGUCUGGCAUACAGUUAGUGCUAAAUAAAAGUUUUUC
rnacentral:lncRNA from 1 species